rfam:Candidatus Kaiserbacteria bacterium RIFCSPHIGHO2_01_FTLL_53_29 rifcsphigho2_01_scaffold_1511, whole genome shotgun sequence.
GACCUAACCCGUUAGCUUUGACGGUAUGGUCGUGAAGAUGUCCUGUCAGACAUGAAAAACCCGUCAUGGAGUUGUCUGACAGGCCGUGUGGGGAAACCUGCACGCUCGGCGCAAGCCGGG